rnacentral:snRNA from 1 species
UUACUUUAGUAGCACAUAUACUAAAAUUGUGGUAAUACAGAGAAGAUUUGCAUCAUCCCUGUGCAAUUAACAACACACAAAUUUAUGAAAUAUUCUAUGUUUUG